rnacentral:lncRNA from 1 species
CAGGAAGUGUGUGAAUCGGUAAGCUGCGUGUCUCCUCAUCGCAUCUCCAUCAGUCUUGCUGGGCCGGCGCUAGAGGGCACGCACUGCGGCGGAGAAAACUGGUGCCGCGGGGGGAAGUGCGUGCCAUGGGGAAGCGAUGGCCCUCUCGAAGUCGUGGACGGGGGGUGGGGCCCCGUGACCACCAGCGAGUGCCAGUCGGGGUGCGUCGAAGGAGGCACAGGCUGGCAGGUGUCCCGACGCCCUGCAAUACCCCCCCC